UACGAAGGGGGCUAGCGUUGCCCGGAAUCACUGGGCGUAAAGCGUGCGUAGGCGGUUUCUUAAGUCUGUCGUGAAAGCCCUGGGCUCAACCUGGGAAUGGCGAUGGAUACUGGGAGGCUAGAGUGUGAUAGAGGAUGGUGGAAUUCCCGGUGUAGCGGUGAAAUGCGUAGAGAUCGGGAGGAACACCAGUGGCGAAGGCGGCCAUCUGGAUCAACACUGACGCUGAGGCACGAAAGCGUGGGGAGCAAACAGG
rnacentral:rRNA from 1 species